rnacentral:rRNA from 1 species
UACAGAGGGUGCGAGCGUUGUUCGGAAUUAUUGGGCGUAAAGAGCGCGUAGGCGGCGCGGUAAGUCACCUGUGAAAUCUCCUGGCUCAACUGGGAGCUUGCAAGCGAAACUGCCGUGCUGGAGUGUGGGAGAGGUGCGUGGAAUUCCUGGUGUAGCGGUGAAAUGCGUAGAUAUCAGGAGGAACACCUGUGGCGAAAGCGGCGCACUGGACCACAACUGACGCUGAGGCGCGAAAGCUAGGGGAGCAAACAGG